rnacentral:rRNA from 1 species
GAUGAACGCUAGCGGCAGGCUAACACAUGCAAGUCGAGGGAGAGGUUAUCUUCGGGUAACCAAAACCGGCGCACGGGUGCGUAACGCGUAUACAAUCUGCCUUUCACAUAGGGGAUAGCCCGAAGAAAUUUGGAUUAAUACCUAAUGGUAUAUAAGAGCGGCAUCGUUUUUAUAUUAAAGCUACGGUGGUGAAAGAUGAGUAUGCGUUCUAUUAGCUAGUUGGAGAGGUAACGGCUCCCCAAGGCGACGAUAGAUAGGGGUUCUGAGAGGGAUGUCCCCCACACUGGUACUGAGAUACGGACCAGACUCCUACGGGAGGCAGCAGUGAGGAAUAUUGGACAAUGGUCGGAAGACUGAUCCAGCCAUGCCGCGUGCAGGAUGAAGGUCCUAUGGAUUGUAAACUGCUUUUGUAAGGGAAGAAUAAGGAGUACGUGUACUUUGAUGACGGUACCUUACGAAUAAGCAUCGGCUAACUCCGUGCCAGCAGCCGCGGUAAUACGGGAGGAUGCGAGCGUUAUCCGGAAUCAUUGGGUUUAAAGGGUCCGUAGGCGGGCUGAUAAGUCAGAGGUGAAAGCGCUUAGCUCAACUAAGCAACUGCCUUUGAAACUGUCAGUCUUGAAUGAUUGUGAAGUAGUUGGAAUGUGUAGUGUAGCGUGAAAUGCUUAGAUAUUACGCGGAACACCGAUAGCGAGCAUAUUACUUACUUUUAUUGACGCUGAUGGACGAAAGCGUGGGGAGCGAACAGGAUAGAUACCCUGGUAGUCCAGGGCGAAUUCCACAGUGGAUAUCAGCUGAGCGGCGCGGCGGCUCCAGCGCGCCCGAUACUGAGUUUUUGUGCCUUAGUAGAGCGUCAUCUCACACAAGAAAGAGGG